rnacentral:lncRNA from 1 species
CUAGGAGCAGGGCGGGCGCCAUGAAGGGUGGACCCGAGGGAGGCCCCAGGCCCGCCAGCCAGGAGACCAAGAAAACCUGAGCAAAGCCAUGACCAGGACGCUAACUGCAGGGACUGGCGCACUCGGCACCACCCGUCACCAGCUCCUUCCCACGUGCUGGUGAAGCACAACCCAGAGAAGAGAAGAUGCUGUGGAACCCACCCCAUCCCCCACCCCAGCCGCCCUAUCCCCCACCCCAGCCACUCCAUCCCCCAUCCCCCAUCCCAGCCAAAAGACACCUGGGCCCGGGGGACCACUACCACCAAGACGCAGAGACCAGUAGUGGCCCUGAAUGCCAGGCUGUGCUGAUAUUUAUUGGAUACAAGACAAAAGGGCAGGGUAAGGAGUGUGAGUCAUCUCCAAUGACAGGUAAGGUCACGUGGGUCACAUGUCCACUGGCCAGGGGGCCCUUGCCUGCCUGGCAGCCGAGGCAGAGAGAGAGGAGAGAGAGAGAGAGAGACAGCUUACGCCAUUAUUUCUGCUUAUCAGAGACUUUCAGUACUUUCACUAAUUUGCUGCUGUUAUCUAGAAGGCAGAGCCAGGUGCACAGGAUGGAACAUGAAGGCGGACUAGGAGCGUGACCACUGAAGCACAGCAUCACAGGGAGACGGUUAGGCCUCCGGAUAACUGCGGGCGGGCCUGACUGAUGUCAGGUCCUCCACAAGAGGUGGAGGAGUAGAGUCUUCUCUAAACUCCCCCGGGGAAAGGGAGACUCCCUUUCCCAGUCCGCUAAGUAGCAGGUGUUUUUCCGUGACACUGAGGCUACCGCUAGACCACGGUCCGCUUGGCAACGGGCGUCUUCCCAGACGCUGGUGUCACCGCUAGACCAAGGAGCCCUCUGGUGGCCCUGUCUGGGCGUGACAGAAGGCUCACACUUGUCUUCUGGUCACUUCUCACUAUGUCCCCUCAGCUCCUAUCUCUGUAUGGCCUGGUUUUUCCUAGAUUAUGAUUGUAGAGCAAGGAUUAUUAUAAUACGGGAACAAAGAGUAAUUGCUACAAACUAAUGAUGAAUGAUAUUCAUAUAUAAUCAUGUCUAUGACCUAUAUCUAGUAUAACUAUUGUUGUAUUAUAUAUUUUAUUAUACUGGAACAUCUCGUGCCCUUGGUCUCUUGCCUGGGCACCUGGGUGGCUAGCCGCCCACGAAACUCUUAGUCUCAGGCCUCCCCAUCGUGCCCGGAGGACACUAACCUACGAGGAGGGAUGUCUGCCCUGCCGGAGCCCCGGGGGGAAGGUAAGCGAGCCCCCCAAGGGGAGCAGUUCUUGCCCUGGCCCACUUUGCCUACGCCGGGCACAGUUCUGUGAGGUCUGGGCUGGCGGCUGGGACAAGCUGCACAUCUCGGCUAAGGGGUCUCGGCCUGAGGAGCAGCCUCAGGUCUGGCUCCAGAAUGGAGACCCUGCAGCACAGAGGGGCUGGGGGCGUCUUUUUCAUCUCGAAGCCAAGGCUCCCAGAGGCUCAGGGCUCCAUGACAUGUGGCGACAUGCAUGAGCAGGGAGGCUCAUGCCACCAUGGAAGCAGGUGACCCUGGUGGCCCUGCCAGGACCCAGCCCCAAACCCCUUCCUGGGCCUUUGGCUCCCAGGGUCUCCUCAAUGCAGCAGGGCAGAGCCUGGGAAUUGGACGCAGCACAGCCCGGCUCAGAGCCAGCAAAGUUCACACUGUUCUUUGGGGAGAAAGGCGCUCAGAAGAGAUGCCUGGGCCCUUUGUCCUGUAGCUUGGUAACACAAAAUUC